UAUCUCUGUAGAGUCUGCAUAUCAAUAAGCGGAGGAAAAGAAACUAACGAGGAUUCCCUCAGUAACGGCGAGUGAAGCGGGAAGAGCUCAAAUUUGAAAUCUUCAAGGUUCUACCUUGACGAAUUGUAGUUUAAAGAAGUGUUUUCUGUUGGAAGUUUCGGUAAAAGUUCUUUGGAAUAGGACAUCAUAGAGGGUGAGAAUCCCGUAUUUGACCGUUAUCUUUCAGCUGUGUGAUACACUUUCAAAGAGUCGGAUUGUUUGGGAAUGCAGUCCAAAAUGGGUGGUAAAUUUCAUCUAAAGCUAAAUAUUGGCGAGAGACCGAUAGCGAACAAGUACCGUGAGGGAAAGAUGAAAAGAACUUUGAAAAGAGAGUUAAACAGUACGUGAAAUUGUCAAAAGGGAAGCGUUUGACACCAGUGUUGUUUUCUCGAAAAUCAAUUAAAAAUGGCUUGAUUUUGUGUUGUAUUGACCUUAAAAGCUUUCUUCACUUUUUUCAUGUCUUUUUUAAUGCACUUUUCGUUUAACAAGUCAACAUCAGUUUCUUUUGUUGUAAAAAGGUCAUUGGAAGGUGGCUUUCUUUUCGGAGAAAGUGUUUAUAGCCUUUGACUUCUGCAAUCGGAGAGACUGAGGUCUGCAGCGUAGAUCCUUCUGGAUUAGAUUCGUUUGUGCUAAGUUACAACCGUUUAUAGACAACUUGUUGACUAUAUUCGAUCCUGUAGCUUACUCGCUUAUGUAAUUUUACCUACGCUUAGGAUGUUGAAGAUGUAGCACAUCAU
rnacentral:rRNA from 1 species